GACGAACGCUGGCGGCGUGCCUAAUACAUGCAAGUAGAACGCACAGUUUAUACCGUAGCUUGCUACACCAUAGACUGUGAGUUGCGAACGGGUGAGUAACGCGUAGGUAACCUGCCUGGUAGCGGGGGAUAACUAUUGGAAACGAUAGCUAAUACCGCAUAAUAUUAAUUAUUGCAUGAUAAUUGAUUAAAAGGUGCAAUUGCACCACUACCAGAUGGACCUGCGUUGUAUUAGCUAGUAGGUGAGGUAACGGCUCACCUAGGCGACGAUACAUAGCCGACCUGAGAGGGUGAUCGGCCACACUGGGACUGAGACACGGCCCAGACUCCUACGGGAGGCAGCAGUAGGGAAUCUUCGGCAAUGGACGAAAGUCUGACCGAGCAACGCCGCGUGAGUGAAGAAGGUUUUCGGAUCGUAAAGCUCUGUUGUAAGAGAAGAACGGGUGUGAGAGUGGA
rnacentral:rRNA from 1 species